GACGAACGCUGGCGGCGUGCCUAAUACAUGCAAGUAGAACGCUGAAGGAGGGGCUUGCUCUUCUGGAUGAGUUGCGAACGGGUGAGUAACGCGUAGGUAACCUGCCUGGUAGCGGGGGAUAACUAUUGGAAACGAUAGCUAAUACCGCAUAACAGUAGAUGUUGCAUGACAUUUGCUUAAAAGGUGCAAUUGCACCACUACCAGAUGGACCUGCGUUGUAUUAGCUAGUUGGUGGGGUAACGGCUCACCAAGGCGACGAUACAUAGCCGACCUGAGAGGGUGAUCGGCCACACUGGGACUGAGACACGGCCCAGACUCCUACGGGAGGCAGCAGUAGGGAAUCUUCGGCAAUGGACGGAAGUCUGACCGAGCAACGCCGCGUGAGUGAAGAAGGUUUUCGGAUCGUAAAGCUCUGUUGUAAGAGAAGAACGAGUGUGAGAGUGGAAAGUUCACACUGUGACGGUAUCUUACCAGAAAGGGACGGCUAACUACGUG
rnacentral:rRNA from 1 species